CUAGCCGUAAACGAUGGAUACUAGGCGUUGAGAGGAUCGACCCUCGCAGUGCCGUAGCUAACGCGUUAAGUAUCCCGCCUGGGGAGUACGCGCGCAAGCGUGAAACUCAAAGGAAUUGACGGGGGCCCGCACAAGCGGUGGAGUAUGUGGUUUAAUUCGACGCAACGCGAAGAACCUUACCAGGGCUUGACAUGUCCGGAACCCUGCCCAAAGGUGGGGGUGCCUACGGGAGUCGGAACACAGGUGGUGC
rnacentral:rRNA from 1 species